UACGAAGGGGGCUAGCGUUGCUCGGAAUCACUGGGCGUAAAGCGCACGUAGGCGGAUCUUUAAGUCAGGGGUGAAAUCCUGGAGCUCAACUCCAGAACUGCCUUUGAUACUGGGGAUCUCGAGUCCGGAAGAGGUGAGUGGAACUCCGAGUGUAGAGGUGAAAUUCGUAGAUAUUCGGAAGAACACCAGUGGCGAAGGCGGCUCACUGGUCCGGUACUGACGCUGAGGUGCGAAAGUGUGGGGAGCAAACGGG
rnacentral:rRNA from 1 species